rnacentral:rRNA from 1 species
UAUUGCACAAUGGAGGAAACUCUAAUGCAGCGACGCCGCGUGAAGGAUGAAGUAUUUCGGUAUGUAAACUUCUAUCAGCAGGGAAGAAAAUGACGGUACCUGACUAAGAAGCACCGGCUCACUAUGUGCCAGCAGCCGCGGUAAUACGUAGGGGGCAAGCGUUGUCCGGAUUUACUGGGUGUAAAGGGAGCGCAGACGGCACGGCAAGCCGGAUGUGAAAGCCCGGGGCUCAACCCCGGGACUGCAUUUGGAACUGCUGAGCUAGAGUGUCGGAGAGGCAAGUGGAAUUCCUAGUGUAGCGGUGAGAUGCGUAGAUAUUAGGAGGAACACCAGUGGCGAAGGCGGCUUGCUGGACGAUGACUGACGUUGAGGCUCGAAAGCGUGGGGAGCAAACAGG